GCUGUGGUGUAAUGGUAGCACGCGUGAUCAGUGUGGAUGGGGCGUGGGUUCGAGUCCCGUCUGAAGUC